rnacentral:misc_RNA from 1 species
UAUUUAUGGUACAUAUCUUAACAAUUCUAUUGACUAAUUGAACUAACCAGGUCACACUGGUUCAUUGGUUCAACCGCCAGGGUCAAUCGGGUAACAUCGGGUUGGUUCUUUAUCUUGUUUAAUUACAAACCCGAACCAGUAUGAGGAUCGGUUCACCGGUUCGGUCCGAGUUUAAUAACUAUGAGUUUAACAAUGUAAUUGCAAGUAAAUUUCAAAGGAGUUAGAUCAAUGUAUAUCUCCAAAUAUAUUUUUGAUUACUUUGUAAAAUUGAAUGCUAGAGAAAACCCCAUUUUUCAUUCAAGUGAUUCUUGAGAUAGGUUCAGCAUGAGAGUGUUGUCUUUAGGUUCUAGAUUAUAUAGAGGAAUACUUUUCAUCUAGCAUAUGUCUUGACCUUCUUGGGUAAGUAGGAAUGACUAAAUGUUCAAUCUCCUUUUAGUUUGGAUUAGUGAUCUAUGUUGUCUUGUUGAAUGAAUAUGGGGUGGUAAUUGCAGCUGUGGAUGUUUGUGUAUAUGGCUUAUGAAGUGA